UGGGGAAUCUUCCGCAAUGGACGAAAGUCUGACGGAGCAACGCCGCGUGAGUGAUGACGGCCUUCGGGUUGUAAAGCUCUGUUAAUCGGGACGAAUGGUUCUUGUGCGAAUAGUGCAAGGAUUUGACGGUACCGGAAUAGAAAGCCACGGCUAACUACGUGCCAGCAGCCGCGGUAAUACGUAGGUGGCAAGCGUUGUCCGGAAUUAUUGGGCGUAAAGCGCGCGCAGGCGGAUUGGUCAGUCUGUCUUAAAAGUUCGGGGCUUAACCCCGUGAUGGGAUGGAAACUGCCAAUCUAGAGUAUCGGAGAGGAAAGUGGAAUUCCUAGUGUAGCGGUGAAAUGCGUAGAUAUUAGGAAGAACACCAGUGGCGACGGCGACUUUCUGGACGAAAACUGACGCUGAGGCGCGAAAGCCAGGGGAGCGAACGGG
rnacentral:rRNA from 1 species